GGGUUGUGAGGUUAAGCGACUAAGCGUACACGGUGGAUGCCCUGGCAGUCAGAGGCGAUGAAGGACGUGCUAAUCUGCGAAAAGCGUCGGUAAGGUGAUAUGAACCGUUACAGCCGGCGAUGUCCGAAUGGGGAAACCCAGUGCAAUUCGUUGCACUAUCGUUAACUGAAUACAUAGGUUAACGAGGCGAACCGGGGGAACUGAAACAUCUAAGUACCCCGAGGAAAAGAAAUCAACCGAGAUUCCCCCAGUAGCGGCGAGCGAACGGGGAGCAGCCCAGAGUCUGAAUCAGCUUGUGUGUUAGUGGAACGGUCUGGAAAGUCCGACGGUACAGGGUGAUAGUCCCGUACACCAAAAUGCACAGGUUGUGAACUCGAAGAGUAGGGCGGGACACGUGGUAUCCUGUCUGAAUAUGGGGGGACCAUCCUCCAAGGCUAAAUACUCCUGACUGACCGAUAGUGAACCAGUACCGUGAGGGAAAGGCGAAAAGAACCCCGGCGAGGGGAGUGAAAAAGAACCUGAAACCGUGUACGUACAAGCAGUGGGAGCACCUUCGGGUGUGACUGCGUACCUUUUGUAUAAUGGGUCAGCGACUUAUAUUCUGUAGCAAGGUUAACCGUAUAGGGGAGCCGCAGGGAAACCGAGUCUUAACUGGGCGUUAAGUUGCAGGGUAUAGACCCGAAACCCGGUGAUCUAGCCAUGGGCAGGUUGAAGGUUGGGUAACACUAACUGGAGGACCGAACCGACUAAUGUUGAAAAAUUAGCGGAUGACUUGUGGCUGGGGGUGAAAGGCCAAUCAAACCGGGAGAUAGCUGGUUCUCCCCGAAAGCUAUUUAGGUAGCGCCUCGUGAACUCAUCUUCGGGGGUAGAGCACUGUUUCGGCUAGGGGGUCAUCCCGACUUACCAACCCGAUGCAAACUACGAAUACCGAAGAAUGUUAUCACGGGAGACACACGGCGGGUGCUAACGUCCGUCGUGAAGAGGGAAACAACCCAGACCGCCAGCUAAGGUCCCAAAGUCAUGGUUAAGUGGGAAACGAUGUGGGAAGGCACAGACAGCCAGGAUGUUGGCUUAGAAGCAGCCAUCAUUUAAAGAAAGCGUAAUAGCUCACUGGUCGAGUCGGCCUGCGCGGAAGAUGUAACGGGGCUAAACCAUGCACCGAAGCUGCGGCAGCGACACUAUGUGUUGUUGGGUAGGGGAGCGUUCUGUAAGCCUGCGAAGGUGUGCUGUGAGGCAUGCUGGAGGUAUCAGAAGUGCGAAUGCUGACAUAAGUAACGAUAAAGCGGGUGAAAAGCCCGCUCGCCGGAAGACCAAGGGUUCCUGUCCAACGUUAAUCGGGGCAGGGUGAGUCGACCCCUAAGGCGAGGCCGAAAGGCGUAGUCGAUGGGAAACAGGUUAAUAUUCCUGUACUUGGUGUUACUGCGAAGGGGGGACGGAGAAGGCUAUGUUAGCCGGGCGACGGUUGUCCCGGUUUAAGCAUGUAGGCUGAUUGUCCAGGCAAAUCCGGAUAAUCAAGGCUGAGGUGUGAUGACGAGGCACUACGGUGCUGAAGUAACAAAUGCCCUGCUUCCAGGAAAAGCCUCUAAGCAUCAGGUAACAUCAAAUCGUACCCCAAACCGACACAGGUGGUCAGGUAGAGAAUACCAAGGCGCUUGAGAGAACUCGGGUGAAGGAACUAGGCAAAAUGGUGCCGUAACUUCGGGAGAAGGCACGCUGGUGUGUAGGUGAAGUCCCUGCGGAUGGAGCUGAGACCAGUCGAAGAUACCAGCUGGCUGCAACUGUUUAUUAAAAACACAGCACUGUGCAAACACGAAAGUGGACGUAUACGGUGUGACGCCUGCCCGGUGCCGGAAGGUUAAUUGAUGGGGUUAUCCGUAAGGAGAAGCUCUUGAUCGAAGCCCCGGUAAACGGCGGCCGUAACUAUAACGGUCCUAAGGUAGCGAAAUUCCUUGUCGGGUAAGUUCCGACCUGCACGAAUGGCGUAAUGAUGGCCAGGCUGUCUCCACCCGAGACUCAGUGAAAUUGAACUCGCUGUGAAGAUGCAGUGUACCCGCGGCAAGACGGAAAGACCCCGUGAACCUUUACUAUAGCUUGACACUGAACAUUGAGCCUUGAUGUGUAGGAUAGGUGGGAGGCUUUGAAGCGUGGACGCCAGUCUGCGUGGAGCCAACCUUGAAAUACCACCCUUUAAUGUUUGAUGUUCUAACGUUGGCCCCUGACCGGGGUUGCGGACAGUGUCUGGUGGGUAGUUUGACUGGGGCGGUCUCCUCCCAAAGCGUAACGGAGGAGCACGAAGGUUAGCUAAUCCUGGUCGGACAUCAGGAGGUUAGUGCAAUGGCAUAAGCUAGCUUGACUGCGAGCGUGACGGCGCGAGCAGGUGCGAAAGCAGGUCAUAGUGAUCCGGUGGUUCUGAAUGGAAGGGCCAUCGCUCAACGGAUAAAAGGUACUCCGGGGAUAACAGGCUGAUACCGCCCAAGAGUUCAUAUCGACGGCGGUGUUUGGCACCUCGAUGUCGGCUCAUCACAUCCUGGGGCUGAAGUAGGUCCCAAGGGUAUGGCUGUUCGCCAUUUAAAGUGGUACGCGAGCUGGGUUUAGAACGUCGUGAGACAGUUCGGUCCCUAUCUGCCGUGGGCGCUGGAGAAUUGAGGGGGGCUGCUCCUAGUACGAGAGGACCGGAGUGGACGCAUCACUGGUGUUCGGGUUGUCAUGCCAAUGGCACUGCCCGGUAGCUAAAUGCGGAAGAGAUAAGUGCUGAAAGCAUCUAAGCACGAAACUUGCCCCGAGAUGAGUUCUCCCUGAGACUUUAAGUCUCCUGAAGGAACGUUAAAGACGAUGACGUUGAUAGGCCGGGUGUGUAAGCGCAGCGAUGCGUUGAGCUAACCGGUACUAAUGAACCGUGAGGCUUAACCUUACAACGCCGAAG
rnacentral:rRNA from 1 species